rnacentral:lncRNA from 1 species
AAUCUGCCUCUAUCCAUGGCAGCCCUUCUUAUUUUAAUGUUCUCACUCUUACCCACAAACUAAAUUUACAUUUCUUGCUGUUAUAAAUUUUAUAUUUUUGUGUGUGGAGAAACAUUCCAUCAAGAAGACUGAAGCCCAGUAAACUCCCAAAGACAAGACUUUCAGAAGGCAGGUAUGGUCAAGAGAGACACUGGAAGAUGGAAGUUACUUCAGUGUUCCAGUUGCUGGUGUAGCCAGGGCUUCACAGGGGGAAAAGGCACUGCAUC